GGUUAGCAGUUUAUGCAAGUAUAAUAUUCCUAGCCUUUCUAGAUAUUGAGAGGUUGUUGUCUUUCGAACGAUCUGUAAAAAUGAGUUUCACAAAUUAUAUAAAAAAUUGUUGGAAUUGCUAAACACUAACCAAGCUUCAACUUUUCAGCUUAUUUAGCCCCUCACUUGUCUGGUUUAUUCCAUGAGGUUGGCGAUGAAGUUACGCUGACCGCACGAAGACUGCCGAUACCGACAGCCAAAAGUAUUUUCCAGACAGUGUAUGACGAAUAGGAAUGAAUAUUUGGAAGAACCAUGUGUAUAGAUGAGAUCAAUGUGACCUACAUGCGAGUUUGGGUUGAGCGUGAAUACGAAUGUUUUGAUCUUGAAGUAGCAUCGCCAACAUCACUGAGUUAAACAUAUAGGUAAAA